rnacentral:sRNA from 1 species
UCAAUACAUCCUCUAUGUCCUUGCUUCUUGCAUCCU